AGCAAACAGAAACUCUCUGCAAAAAGUAACCAACCUCUUCCAACUUUUCUCAAUGGAUGAUGCUGUAAGAUUGCUCCUCAUAUAUUUCCAUUUGUCCAUGAUUUCCUUCAACCUGGCUCAAGAUGUAGGCCAAUUUGUCUAUAAUGGCUUCCUGGGAGCCAAACUCCAUCUUGAUGGAAUUGCAAAAAUCCAUCCUAAUGGUCUGUUGCAGCUAACCAACACUUCAAAGCAGAAAAUGGGUCAUGCCUUCUAUCAAUUCCCUCUGAAAUUCAGCCCAAAUUCAUCCAGUCCAGCUGAAUCUCUGUCAUUUUCCGCUAUCUUUGUGUUUGCCAUGGUUCCUGAGCUGCAAAAUCUUAGCGGCCAUGGCAUAGCAUUCACGAUUUCACCAUCCUUGGAUUUCAGCCAAGCUGUAGCAAGUCAGUAUUUGGGACUCCUCAAUACUUCAAACAAUGGUCUUUCUACCAACCACAUGUUGGCAGUUGAACUUGAUACCAUUCGUAGCCCUGAUGUCCAAGAUAUAGAUGAAAACCAUGUGGGAAUUGAUGUGAACAGCCUGAAGUCUAUUGAUUCAGCUUCAGCUACUUAUUUUUCCAAUCCAGAAGGGAUAAACAGAAGCUUGAAUCUCAUUAGUGGAGAUCCCAUACAGGUAUGGAUAGACUAUGAUGAAGCAGAAACAUUGCUCAAUGUAUCUCUCGCUCCAAUUAGUAGCCCAAAACCAAACCAGCUGCUCUUGUCAACACCCAUCAAUCUUUCUGAAAUUCUUCUGGAAUCUAUGUAUGAUGGUUUUUCUGCAGCAACUGGAACACUUGCAAGUGACCAUUAUAUUCUUGGAUGGAGUUUCAACAAAGCUGGAAAAGCACUAAACCUUGAUAUUUCAAAGCUUCCUUCGCUUCCUCCACGUAGGAAAGCAGAAAAGAAACCGGGAGUGAUGAUUAUAGUUAUACUUGCAACAGUAAUAGCUGUUCUUAUAACAAUAACUGUAGGUAUUUACAUUGUAAGGAGGAAGAAAUAUGAGGAAAUACGUGAAGAUUGGGAAAGGGAAUAUGGCCCUCAAAGAUUCUCCUAUAAGAAUCUCUACAAAGCAACCAAAGGCUUUAAAGACAAGGAGCUACUUGGAGCAGGAGGUUUUGGAAAGGUUUAUAAAGGAGUACUCCCUUCUUCAAAUUUACAAGUUGCAGUGAAGAAAGUCUCACAUGAUUCAAAACAAGGGAUGAAGGAAUUUGUUGCUGAGAUUGUCAGCAUUGGAAGGCUGAGGCACAGGAACCUGGUGCAACUCCUUGGCUACUGCAGGCGACAGGGGGAGCUUCUGUUGGUCUAUGAUUACAUGCCUAAUGGAAGCCUUGACAAGUUUUUGUUUACCAACGAAAAACCAGUCCUCAAUUGGUCUCAAAGAUUUCAAAUCCUCAAAGGAGUUGCGUCUGGCCUUCUUUACCUCCAUGAGGAGUGGGAACAAGUUGUUCUACAUAGGGACAUAAAGGCUAGUAAUGUUCUAUUAGAUAGUCGUCUAAAUGGACGACUUGGAGACUUUGGCCUUGCUAGACUAUACAAUCAUGGUUCCAAUCCUCAAACCACCCAUGUGGUUGGGACUGUGGGUUAUUUGGCUCCAGAGCUUGCUCGAUUUGGAAAAGCAACCACCAGUACCGAUGUGUUUGCUUUUGGGGCUUUUCUGCUUGAGGUGGCUUGUGGUAGAAGGCCAAUAGGACUUCCUGAAGAGGUAGUUUUAGUAGAUUGGGCCAUUGAGUACUGGAAAAGAGGGGCUAUUAUUGAUGCCAGUGAUCCUCGGUUGGAAGGAAAUUAUGUGAUAGAGGAAAUGGAGUUGGUUUUGAAACUAGGACUCCUCUGUUCACACUCUGUGCCAACAAUAAGACCUAGCAUGAGGCAAGUGAUGCAGUAUUUGGAUGGUGAUGCUACUUUGCCAGAUGUAUCACUAGAAAGUGCUGCUAUUGGUACAUUCAUAACACCUAAUGAAGCAUCUGAUUUUGUAAUGUCAUUUCCUUCCUCUGUUGGGAAGGGAUCUGGGCGUUCCAUCUCUAGCGUUGAUUCAAUCCUCACAGGAGGUCGUUAAACCAGUGAUAUGUCAUAAUAUGAGUAGGCUACAUUCGCUUUGGACAAAUUAAACAGUGGCAAACAAAACUUACAGAAAAAACAUGAUGGAGAAUAGAGGGGAAGAAUCUUUGGAAGAAUAUAAUGUACACAGUUCCGAUCAUGUAAGUUUCUGUAACUGACAUGAUAGUCUACUUAGCUUUGUGUUAUUGUGGAUGGUUAAUCUGGUUUUGUGGGUGUCUAUGGAACAGUUAUGAUGUAUGUCAUUUUGCCAGUUUAAGAAAGAGGAAAAUCUCACAACCACUAAUCAGAUUGUUAGGAUUAAGGCGCAGUUUAUCAAAAUGUAGCUGCCUGAUGGUUCAUUUACACACUGCUAUAGUGAUGAGGCACAAGAAAGGAGAUUGUGAUACUGUACAAUUUGUUGCUUUUUAACAAUCACAAGGAUCAAAAUUACUAAUUUUGAA
rnacentral:misc_RNA from 1 species